GACGAACGCUGGCGGCGUGCUUAACACAUGCAAGUCGAACGGAAAGGCCUGCUUUCCCUUGUGGAUUGCGGGUACUCGAGUGGCGAACGGGUGAGUAACACGUGAGUGAUCUGCCCCCAACUUGGGUAUAAGCCUGGGAAACUGGGUCUAAUUCCCGAUAGGACUGCAGGGUGGUGCCUGUGGUGGAAAACGAUUUUCUAGUGGUUGGGGAUGAGCUCGCGGCCUAUCAGCUUGUUGGUGGGGUAAUGGCCUACCAAGGCGGCGACGGGUAGCCGGCCUGAGAGGGUGGACGGCCACAUUGGGACUGAGAUCCGGCCCAGACUCCUACGGGAGGCAGCAGUGGGGAAUAUUGCACAAUGGGCGGAAGCCUGAUGCAGCGACGCCGCGUGGGGGAUGACGGCCUUCGGGUUGUAAACUCCUUUCGACCGCGAGGAAGCCACCUGGUUGGAAGGGUGGUGACGGUAGUGGUAGAAGAAGCACCGGCUAACUACGUG
rnacentral:rRNA from 1 species